GGCACGCCUAACACAUGCAAGUCGAACGAAGUAGCAAUACUUAGUGGCAGACGGGUGAGUAACAUGUGGGUAUCUACCCUUUGGCCUGGAAUAACACGAGGAAACUUGUGCUAAUACUGGAUAAGUCUUUACGGAGAAAGCUUUAUGCACCAUUGGAUGAGCCCGCACUUGAUUAGUUUGUUGGUGGGGUAAUGGCCUACCAAGACUGUGAUCAAUAGCUGAUUUGAGAGGAUGAUCAGCCACAUUGGGACUGAGACACGGCCCAAACUCCUACGGGAGGCAGCAGUGGGGAAUCUUGCACAAUGGAGGAAACUCUGAUGCAGCGAUGCCGCGUGAGUGAAGAAGGCCCUUGGGUUGUAAAGCUCUUUCGUCGGGGAAGAAAAUGACUGUACCCGAAUAAGAAGGUCCG
rnacentral:rRNA from 1 species